GGGUCAAUGGUGUAGUGGCUAUCAUUCACGCUUCGGAUGCGUGAGGUCCCGGGUUCAAAUCCCGGUUGACCCC